rnacentral:rRNA from 1 species
AGCGAACGCUGGCGGCAGGCCUAACACAUGCAAGUCGAACGGAUCCUUCGGGAUUAGUGGCGGACGGGUGAGUAACACGUGGGAACGUGCCUUUUGGUUCGGAACAACUCAGGGAAACUUGAGCUAAUACCGGAUGUGCCCUUGGGGGAAAGAUUUAUCGCCGUUAGAGCGGCCCGCGUCUGAUUAGCUAGUUGGUAGGGUAAAGGCCUACCAAGGCUACGAUCAGUAGCUGGUCUGAGAGGAUGAUCAGCCACAUUGGGCUGAGACACGGCCCAAACUCCUACGGGAGGCAGCAGUGGGGAAUCUUGCGCAAUGGGCGAAAGCCUGACGCAGCCAUGCCGCGUGAAUGAUGAAGGUCUUAGGAUUGUAAAAUUCUUUCACCGGGGAAGAU